ACGCCGUUAACUCAAUCGGGAGAGUACCGUUCUUACAAAUCGGAGGUUGGGGGUUCAAAUCCCUCACGGCGUACCA
rnacentral:tRNA from 1 species